GACGAACGCUGGCGGCGUGCUUAACACAUGCAAGUCGAACGGAAAGGCCCUGCUUUUGUGGGGUGCUCGAGUGGCGAACGGGUGAGUAACACGUGAGUAACCUGCCCUUGACUUUGGGAUAACUUCAGGAAACUGGGGCUAAUACCGGAUAGGAGCUCCUGCUGCAUGGUGGGGGUUGGAAAGUUUCGGCGGUUGGGGAUGGACUCGCGGCUUAUCCGCUUGUUGGUGGGGUAGUGGCUGACCAAGGCUUUGACGGGUAGGCGGCCUGAGAGGGUGACCGGGCACAGUGGGACUGCGAUACGGCCCAGAAUGCUACGUGAGGCAGCAGUGGGGAAUAUUGCACAAUGGGCGGAAGCCUGAUGCAGCAAUGUCGCGUGCGGGAUGACGGCUUUCGGGUUGUAAACCGCUUUCGACUGUGACGAAGCGUGAGUGACGGUAAUGGGUAAAGAAGCACCGGCUAACUACGUG
rnacentral:rRNA from 1 species